ensembl:lncRNA
GUUCUGGUUCGGUUGGUGCCUCUAGCAAGGCUGGGGAACCCGCUGCCGUGCGGGUCUCUUGUUCUGUACGGCACUCAAACAGGCCUCAGAGAUGGAGAGUCUGCAUGGCUGGGAAGGGGCCUUCGAUCCUCCUUUAUCUUCUGCUUCCAGGUACAUAGAAUCACCUGGCUUGUUGUGGGGAGAGAAAGGACCCUUUUUUCCAGCGUCUCUUAGCUCAUUUCUGAGAGGAAGAAUUAGUAUUCGGGUCAGAUUCCAGGACACAUAUCUAUCAGAGGGAGCUGAGGACAAUGGGCACAACACCUCAAAGAGAAGCCUCUACCCCAGCCUCGUGAGAGACCUCAGACCCUCAGCUGCAGCUGAAACAGGGCAAGCCACCUCCUGAGGAAGGAAGCCUUUGUAACACCAGAAAUGAGGACGACUCUAAGGGGAGCUGGAGGACGGAUCACAGUCAGGGCUGAGCUCUCAGCAAUCUUCACCUGAACUGACCCAGGAUGUCAGAGAAUGGGGGAAGACGCCCGAGGAGGGAAGCUGUGGCUGGGUGGUGGUGUCACUCAUAACCCUGAUUCCCAGGGUCACCAAGGCCAACAAGUUGUCAAUGAAGCAGUAGUCUUUCCCAGGCUGUGCAGAGCCCCCAGCCACGCCUCCUCCUGUCCUCGCAGGUGUUGGCCUCUCUGCUGGGCCCCAGAGGGACGAUGGGAAAGGAAGAAGAGGAUGACCUUAUUUCUAGAAACUCUUAUCAGUGCAGAAGAAAGUGGAGAGAGCACAUGGACUCCAGCAGAACCAGGAAUUAUCAGGCAGAAGGGAAAGACAAAUGAUGAGGACAGGAAAUGCAAGGAAAGGAACCGAAGCAAAAAGCUGACUAAUGUGGGUCAGGAUAAAAAUAAUGUAACCAAAGGAGUGGACAACAAGCAGAAGCAGAAACUGGGGGCUGUCAGAGGGCAGAGGAGGAAAACACUCUGGUUCCAGAGGGUGAGGCCCAGGAGUGGAUGUCUGCUGGAUGCUUCUGACCCUCAUCGAAGGAGACAGUGCCUGCCAGAAGGCACCAGUAUGGAGACAGAGACUGUCAACCACAAAUCAGAAGGCUGAGCCCAUUAAUGGUUCCUCACCAGACCUUCUUUGGUCCACUCGCUGUCUUCACUCUUCGCUCAUCCUUGGAGGGUACCAGAGGCCAUAUUGGGUCUUACUUUUUGCGAUGCCCCAUAGGAGAAAGAAAACCAAAACCUAUGAAUCACAUCCAAAACUAAGUGAAAGAUUUGAACCCGGUAGGGAGUAUUGCUACUGCAAGCAUUUGCUGAAAGGACAGAGAAUCUGAAAACUCGAAAGCUCUGGGUGAAGAGUUGGACUGGAGCGAGGAGAGUGGUCGCCGGCACAAUGAAGUAUUUUGAGUUUGAUGUUUUCUGACCCUCUGAAGCUAAACUAUAGCCCAUUUCAUUUUCAAACAGCCUCCCGGGAGCCCUGGGAUGACCUCAGUCAGGAUGUUCUCAAACAUAAUCUAGCCUGCGCAGUAACCUGACAAGAAUUGGUUUAUUUAAGGAACGCGGUGGGUCUUUUAGCCUCUAAAGGAACCCAUAGGUCAUUUGUAAAGGAACCAGCAUGACCUGUUGGAACUUCUCUUGGCACUGAUGCUCAGCCGUUUCAGGUUAGAACUUUGUUGCUUUGAGCUGGAAGCUCCACUGAAACUUGUGUAAUGGAGACCACAUAAAAUGUAGUUUCCCUUAAGAUUUUAGGAUGAGCAGACAAGGACUUUAAAACAGCUCUAAUUAAUUCAAGAAAGUAGAGGGAAGUGUGGAGAAUUUCACCAGAGAACUGGGAUCUUUUAAAAAAUAGUCAAAUGGGGAUUCUAAAAAUGAAACAAAAAUGCAGCAUGAGAAAUUAAGAACUCAGUAGAUGGAUUUAACAGCAGAAUGGAUGCAGCAGAAGACAAGAUGAGUAAAUGCAACUAUGGGUCAAUUGAAAAUAUUCCUAGAGUGAAAUAAACAAACAGCAAAAUAUCAUUUAAUGGAAUACCUUGCAUCAAGACCAAAAAUACAAACUACUGAUAUACGCAAUAAAUGGAAUGACUCAAGAAGAAUUGCGUAAACAAAUGAAGCAAAACACACAAAAAGUAUAUACUCU